rnacentral:rRNA from 2 species
GGUGAGUACACGUAAGCAACCUACCCUAAAGACGAGGAUAACCAUUGGAAACAGUGGCUAAGACUGGAUAGGAAGAUAAAAGGCAUCUUGUAUCUUUUAAAAGACCUAGUUAAUAGGUAUGCUUUAGGAGGGGCUUGCGCCAUAUUAGUUAGUUGGUAGGGUAAUGGCCUACCAAGACGAUGAUGUGUAGCUGGACUGAGAGGUUGAACAGCCACAUUGGGACUGAGACACGGCCCAAACUCCUACGGGAGGCAGCAGUAGGGAAUUUUCGGCAAUGGAGGAAACUCUGACCGAGCAACGCCGCGUGAAUGACGAAGUACUUCGGUAUGUAAAGUUCUUUUAUCGAGGAAGAAAAGCAAAUGGCGAACCAUUUGUUUGCCGGUACUUGAUGAAUAAGCCCCGGCUAAUUAUGUGCCAGCAGCCGCGGUAAGACAUAAGGGGCAAGUGUUAUCCGGAAUUAUUGGGCGUAAAGGGUGCGUAGGCGGUCUAGUAAGUCAGUGGUGUAAUGGCAACGCUUAACGUUGUCCGGCUAUUGAAACUGCUAAACUUGAGUUAGAUAGAGGCGAGUGGAAUUCCAUGUGUAGCGGUAAAAUGCGUAAAUAUAUGGAGGAACACCAGAGGCGUAGGCGGCUCGCUGGGUCUUAACUGACGCUGAGGCACGAAAGCGUGGGGAGCAAACAGGAUUAGAUACCCUGGUAGUCCACGCCGUAAACGAUGAGUACUAAGUGUCGGGUUAAACCGGUACUGAAGUUAACACAUUAAGUACUCCGCCUGAGUAGUACGUACGCAAGUAUGAAACUUAAAGGAAUUGACGGGACUCCGCACAAGCGGUGGAUCAUGUUGUUUAAUUCGAAGAUACCCGAAAAACCUUACCAGGUCUUGACAUGUUUUUGCAAAAUGAUAGUAAUAUCGUGGAGGUUACCAGAAACACAGGUGGUGCAUGGUUGUCGUCAGCUCGUGUCGUGAGAUGUUAGGUUAAGUCCUAAAACGAGCGAAACCCUUAUCGUUAGUUGCCAGCACGUUAUGGUGGGGACUUUAACGAGACUGCCAAUGAUAAAUUGGAGGAAGGUGAGGAUCACGUCAAAUCAGCAUGCCCCUUAUGACCUGGGCUACAAACGUGAUACAAUGGCUGUUACAAAGGGUAGCUGAAACGCAAGUUCUUGGCCAAUCCCCAAAAACAGUCCCAGUCCGGAUUGAAGUCUGCAACUCGACUUCAUGAAGUUGGAAUCGCUAGUAAUCGCGAAUCAGCAUGUCGCGGUGAAUACGUUCUCGGGGUUUGUACACACCGCCCGUCAAACCACGAAAGUUGGCAAUACCCCAAAACGGUAGCCUAACUCGUU